rnacentral:tRNA from 1 species
GAAAUAGCUCAGCGGUAGAGCGGACGGCUGUUAACUACUGGGUCGUAGGUUAGAAUCCUACUCG